CUAAUACCGCAUAAGACCACAGCACCGCAUGGUGCAGGGGUAAAAACUCCGGUGGUAUGAGAUGGACCCGCGUCUGAUUAGCUAGUUGGUGGGGUAACGGCCUACCAAGGCGACGAUCAGUAGCCGACCUGAGAGGGUGACCGGCCACAUUGGGACUGAGACACGGCCCAAACUCCUACGGGAGGCAGCAGUGGGGAAUAUUGCACAAUGGGGGAAACCCUGAUGCAGCGACGCCGCGUGAGCGAAGAAGUAUUUCGGUAUGUAAAGCUCUAUCAGCAGGGAAGAAAAUGACGGUACCUGACUAAGAAGCCCCGGCUAACUACGUGCCAGCAGCCGCGGUAAUACGUAGGGGGCAAGCGUUAUCCGGAUUUACUGGGUGUAAAGGGAGCGUAGACGGCGAGGCAAGUCUGAUGUGAAAACCCGGGGCUCAACCCCGUGACUGCAUUGGAAACUGUUUUGCUUGAGUGCCGGAGAGGUAAGCGGAAUUCCUAGUGUAGCGGUGAAAUGCGUAGAUAUUAGGAGGAACACCAGUGGCGAAGGCGGCUUACUGGACGGCAACUGACGUUGAGGCUCGAAAGCGUGGGGAGCAAACAGGAUUAGAUACCCUGGUAGUCCACGCCGUAAAC
rnacentral:rRNA from 1 species